GGGGACAUAGCUAAGUGGCACAGCAUCUGCCUGGCAAGUGUGAGGUCCUAAGUUCAAUUCCCAGUGAACCCC
rnacentral:tRNA from 1 species